rnacentral:rRNA from 1 species
AGUGAACGCUGGCGGUAGGCCUAACACAUGCAAGUCGAACGGCAGCACAGUAAGAGCUUGCUCUUACGGGUGGCGAGUGGCGGACGGGUGAGGAAUACAUCGGAAUCUACUUUUUCGUGGGGGAUAACGUAGGGAAACUUACGCUAAUACCGCAUACGACCUACGGGUGAAAGCAGGGGGUCUUCGGACCUUGCGCGAUUGAAUGAGCCGAUGUCGGAUUAGCUAGUUGGCGGGGUAAAGGCCCACCAAGGCGACGAUCCGUAGCUGGUCUGAGAGGAUGAUCAGCCACACUGGAACUGAGACACGGUCCAGACUCCUACGGGAGGCAGCAGUGGGGAAUAUUGGACAAUGGACGCAAGCCUGAUCCAGCCAUACCGCGUGGGUGAAGAAGGCCUUCGGGUUGUAAAGCCCUUUUGUUGGGAAAGAAAAGCAGCAGGUUAAUACCCCGCUGUUCUGACGGUACCCAAAGAAUAAGCACCGGCUAACUUCGUG